rnacentral:rRNA from 1 species
CCGGCGAUGUCCGAAUGGGGAAACCCAGUGCAAUUCGUUGCACUAUCGUUAACUGAAUACAUAGGUUAACGAGGCGAACCGGGGGAACUGAAACAUCUAAGUACCCCGAGGAAAAGAAAUCAACCGAGAUUCCCCCAGUAGCGGCGAGCGAACGGGGAGCAGCCCAGAGUCUGAAUCAGCUUGUGUGUUAGUGGAACGGUCUGGAAAGUCCGACGGUACAGGGUGAUAGUCCCGUACACCAAAAUGCACAGGCUGUGAACUCGAAGAGUAGGGCGGGACACGUGGUAUCCUGUCUGAAUAUGGGGGGACCAUCCUCCAAGGCUAAAUACUCCUGACUGACCGAUAGUGAACCAGUACCGUGAGGGAAAGGCGAAAAGAACCCCGGCGAGGGGAGUGAAAAAGAACCUGAAACCGUGUACGUACAAGCAGUGGGAGCACCUUCGGGUGUGACUGCGUACCUUUUGUAUAAUGGGUCAGCGACUUAUAUUCUGUAGCAAGGUUAACCGUAUAGGGGAGCCGCAGGGAAACCGAGUCUUAACUGGGCGUUAAGUUGCAGGGUAUAGACCCGAAACCCGGUGAUCUAGCCAUGGGCAGGUUGAAGGUUGGGUAACACUAACUGGAGGACCGAACCGACUAAUGUUGAAAAAUUAGCGGAUGACUUGUGGCUGGGGGUGAAAGGCCAAUCAAACCGGGAGAUAGCUGGUUCUCCCCGAAAGCUAUUUAGGUAGCGCCUCGUGAAUUCAUCUUCGGGGGUAGAGCACUGUUUCGGCUAGGGGGUCAUCCCGACUUACCAACCCGAUGCAAACUACGAAUACCGAAGAAUGUUAUCACGGGAGACACACGGCGGGUGCUAACGUCCGUCGUGAAGAGGGAAACAACCCAGACCGCCAGCUAAGGUCCCAAAGUCAUGGUUAAGUGGGAAACGAUGUGGGAAGGCACAGACAGCCAGGAUGUUGGCUUAGAAGCAGCCAUCAUUUAAAGAAAGCGUAAUAGCUCACUGGUCGAGUCGGCCUGCGCGGAAGAUGUAACGGGGCUAAACCAUGCACCGAAGCUGCGGCAGCGACACUAUGUGUUGUUGGGUAGGGGAGCGUUCUGUAAGCCUGCGAAGGUGUGCUGUGAGGCAUGCUGGAGGUAUCAGAAGUGCGAAUGCUGACAUAAGUAACGAUAAAGCGGGUGAAAAGCCCGCUCGCCGGAAGACCAAGGGUUCCUGUCCAACGUUAAUCGGGGCAGGGUGAGUCGACCCCUAAGGCGAGGCCGAAAGGCGUAGUCGAUGGGAAACAGGUUAAUAUUCCUGUACUUGGUGUUACUGCGAAGGGGGGACGGAGAAGGCUAUGUUAGCCGGGCGACGGUUGUCCCGGUUUAAGCAUGUAGGCUGGUUAUCCAGGCAAAUCCGGAUAAUCAAGGCUGAGGUGUGAUGACGAGGCACUACGGUGCUGAAGUAACAAAUGCCCUGCUUCCAGGAAAAGCCUCUAAGCAUCAGGUAACAUUAAAUCGUACCCCAAACCGACACAGGUGGUCAGGUAGAGAAUACCAAGGCGCUUGAGAGAACUCGGGUGAAGGAACUAGGCAAAAUGGUGCCGUAACUUCGGGAGAAGGCACGCUGGUGUGUAGGUGAAGUCCCUGCGGAUGGAGCUGAGACCAGUCGAAGAUACCAGCUGGCUGCAACUGUUUAUUAAAAACACAGCACUGUGCAAACACGAAAGUGGACGUAUACGGUGUGACGCCUGCCCGGUGCCGGAAGGUUAAUUGAUGGGGUUAUCCGUAAGGAGAAGCUCUUGAUCGAAGCCCCGGUAAACGGCGGCCGUAACUAUAACGGUCCUAAGGUAGCGAAAUUCCUUGUCGGGUAAGUUCCGACCUGCACGAAUGGCGUAAUGAUGGCCAGGCUGUCUCCACCCGAGACUCAGUGAAAUUGAACUCGCUGUGAAGAUGCAGUGUACCCGCGGCAAGACGGAAAGACCCCGUGAACCUUUACUAUAGCUUGACACUGAACAUUGAGCCUUGAUGUGUAGGAUAGGUGGGAGGCUUUGAAGCGUGGACGCCAGUCUGCGUGGAGCCGACCUUGAAAUACCACCCUUUAAUGUUUGAUGUUCUAACGUUGGCCCCUGACCGGGGUUGCGGACAGUGUCUGGUGGGUAGUUUGACUGGGGCGGUCUCCUCCCAAAGCGUAACGGAGGAGCACGAAGGUUAGCUAAUCCUGGUCGGACAUCAGGAGGUUAGUGCAAUGGCAUAAGCUAGCUUGACUGCGAGCGUGACGGCGCGAGCAGGUGCGAAAGCAGGUCAUAGUGAUCCGGUGGUUCUGAAUGGAAGGGCCAUCGCUCAACGGAUAAAAGGUACUCCGGGGAUAACAGGCUGAUACCGCCCAAGAGUUCAUAUCGACGGCGGUGUUUGGCACCUCGAUGUCGGCUCAUCACAUCCUGGGGCUGAAGUAGGUCCCAAGGGUAUGGCUGUUCGCCAUUUAAAGUGGUACGCGAGCUGGGUUUAGAACGUCGUGAGACAGUUCGGUCCCUAUCUGCCGUGGGCGCUGGAGAAUUGAGGGGGGCUGCUCCUAGUACGAGAGGACCGGAGUGGACGCAUCACUGGUGUUCGGGUUGUCAUGCCAAUGGCACUGCCCGGUAGCUAAAUGCGGAAGAGAUAAGUGCUGAAAGCAUCUAAGCACGAAACUUGCCCCGAGAUGAGUUCUCCCUGAGACUUUAAGUCUCCUGAAGGAACGUU